rnacentral:rRNA from 1 species
GCCACCAGGCUUCGACGGGUAGCCGGCCUGANAGGGUGACCGGCCACACUGGGACUGAGACACGGCCCAGACUCCUACGGGAGGCAGCAGUGGGGAAUAUUGGACAAUGGGCGAAAGCCUGAUCCAGCAACGCCGCGUGAGGGAUGACGGCCUUCGGGUUGUAAACCUCUUUCAGCAGGGACGAAGUUCGAAGUGACGGUACCUGCAGAAGAAGCACCGGCCAACUACGUGCCAGCAGCCGCGGUAAUACGUAGGGUGCAAGCGUUGUCCGGAAUUAUUGGGCGUAAAGGGCUCGUAGGCGGUCCGUUACGUCGGGAGUGAAAACUCGGGGCUCAACCCCGAGCCUGCUUCCGAUACGGGCGGACUAGAGGUAUGCAGGGGAGAAUGGAAUUCCUGGUGUAGCGGUGAAAUGCGCAGAUAUCAGGAGGAACACCAGUGGCGAAGGCGGUUCUCUGGGCAUUACCUGACGCUGAGGAGCGAAAGUGUGGGGAGCGAACAGGAUUAGAUACCCUGGUAGUCCACACCGUAAACGUUGGGCGCUAGGUGUGGGACUCAUU